rnacentral:rRNA from 1 species
CUUCCCUACGGGGGGCAGCAGUGGGGGAUAUUGCACAAUGGGGGAAACCCUGAUGCAGCGACGCCGCGUGAGUGAAGAAGUAUUUCGGUACGUAAAGCUCUAUCAGCAGGGAAGAAAAAAGACGGUACCUGACUAAGAAGCCCCGGCUAACUACGUGCCAGCAGCCGCGGUAAUACGUAGGGGGCAAGCGUUAUCCGGAUUUACUGGGUGUAAAGGGGGCGCAGACGGCAGCGCAAGCCAGGAGUGAAAGCCCGGGGCCCAACCCCGGGACUGCUCUUGGAACUGCGCGGCUGGAGUGCAGGAGG